rnacentral:rRNA from 1 species
UACGGGGGGGGCAAGCGUUGUUCGGAAUUACUGGGCGUAAAGCGUGCGUAGACGGCUAUCUAAGUCGGGUGUGAAAGCCCCGGGCUCAACCUGGGAAUUGCAUUCGAGACUGAAUAGCUAGGGUGCGGUAGAGGGAAGCGGAAUUUCCGGUGUAGCGGUGAAAUGCGUAGAUAUCGGAAGGAACAUCAGUGGCGAAAGCGGCUUCCUGGACCAGCACCGACGUUCAGGCACGAAAGCGUGGGGAGCAAACAGG